UGAAUGGUUGGCCUAUGUUGAUGGGAUGGGCUUCUUCGGGGCUUUAAAAGCUGGCUUGCCCGUUCCAAGUUGGGAGUUGAGCAAUGUGACUUGGGAUAAGGCCUGGGCCAUGUUGGUUCUAAAGUGUGAAGGGUAAUGCGUCAGGCUGGUUUCACAGAGGAGCGAUCACCUUCCGUUCCCUGCCGUGGAAGGAUCACAAUAAGCCGGUGCUCCACGAGUCAACAAAAUCCCAGAUAACCAGGCCCAAUCAACCA